CCUGCCUGCCUCUUGUGGUCUUAGACUCUCUUUUCCAAACACAACAAACUCACCGCCACACACUGCCCUUCCUGCGACCUUGAAUCCAGAGACCACCAGGCCCAAAAGCCACCUGGAGGAUUUCACUACUGUCUCUGUGGUGGUCAGAAGGGCUGAGAGCAGAACGCAGGAGCCAGAAGACAAUGUCAGAACCCCUUGGAACUGGAGUUACAGACAGGUAGGGAAUCCACAACAGACCAAAGCAUGGAUACGCCCCAAGUCCAACGUGGUGAACCGAUGAAUCUCCAAAGCACAACCUAGACACAGGUGACAUCUCUGGGAACCUGAGCACAAGACACAGCUUCAGCGAGCUCAGCAGGUUGGUCACAGACCAGACAACAAAAGGUUCAUCCUCCUGCCUGACCAUCAUCCAUCCAUCAGCAAGACCAUGCUCCAGUUUGGACUUCCUGGAUUCUGCAGCUUCAUGCAGGAGUUAGAGCAUGUGAGGAGAUCAGCUCGGGUCCAUAGCUGGGCCCACCCACCUGCUUCUCUUCCUGUCCUCAGUGUCACAACAAUACAGGAUUCAGUCGUGAGGAUACCCCAGCCCAUCUGCUCAUUGCUCCACACAGCUACUGCCUCCAGAAGUUGAACACCUGUGACAGAGCCAAUUAUCUAGGGAUAGAGGAGCCAAGAGGCUUGGGUUGCCCUUGAGGCUGUAUUUGGGCCAGCUGAACAGAGACUCCCCGUGUUUCUACACAGAGGCAUGGUCAAGAUGAUCCUGUAGACAUAGUUACCACUCUUAUCUGAGUCGGUGUCCUUGUCCCUUAGAACUUGUGCACAGUAUCUGGGACUGUAAGGGCGGGGCCUGGGUAGAUAUAGACCCAGCCACUCAUUAGCUAAAAUGGAUGGAUGUCCCAGUAAUGUUGACUCCCUUUCUUCCAGCCUUACCUGGGGGCAUUUUGCCAGGAAGAGAAACAGCCUUCUAGUGAGAGACUCCCAUCUGGUGUGAAAUCCUUAGGCCAUUCCAGAGGCAAAGCCAAGGAGGCCUAGAGAGCUUAGCAGAAGAUCUCAAAUGGCCAAUUGGAGGGUGUGGGGUGGUGACUAAACUUUUAAAGAAGUAUGGCCUUAGAAGAGUUUCCAGGCCUUAGAAGAGUCCACUGUCCCCAAGAUGGUCUGAAGUCACGGACAAGAGUGUGGGUAUCAGGUUCUCAUCUGUGCCUGGAUUCAUUAAAGACCCCCAAACUUCUGCACAGCUCAAAUACAAGAGGAAGAGAUUAUUUUUCUCUCACUGUUAUUAUAUUCACCCAUUUUGUAUUACUAUAACACAAUACCUGAGGCCAGGAGACUUAUAACAAACUCUGUUUCGAAACCACAUCCGGUGAUGUUGAUUUUUGACAGGGUUUCCACCAGCACAGGACAGCACAGUGCAGGGCAGGAAAUGCACAGUGUGUUGUCUUGGUCAGUGUUCUACUGCUGUGAAGAGACACCACAGCCAUGGCAGCUCUUAGGAAAGCAUUUACUUGGAACUUGCUUUCAGUUUCAGAAGUUUAGUCCAUUAUCAAAAUGGCACUGAGUAUGAAGACACACAGGCAGACAGGAUGCUGGAGAAGGAGCUGAGAGUUCUGUAUCUGGAUCCGUGGACAGCAGGAGAGACACUGGGACUGGCUUGGAUUUUUGAAACAUCAAAGGAUGCCUGCUUCCCACGUGUGGGGACAGAGGUGCAGAAAAGCAUUUCCCUGAUAUCAAGAUGACAACAUGACCAACUCUGUAGCACCUCACAGAUGAUUUCUACCAGCCUUAGCUACGGAAACCGCACCCCAAGAAGAGCUUUGAAUUAGCCAUAUCCAGAGACCUGAUUCUGCGCACCCAGCACAGAACAAACACCCUUCCCCCAGAGGUCCACUCUAGAUGAGAGAGCUUCCCCAGGGGUUGCUAGCCGCACCUAACUGUCAUAAAGGAUGCUGGCCCCAGAGCUCAGAGCACACCUCCAUUGCACCUCGGUGCCUGCCCCAUGUCUGAGCCCAUGAGUUCUCAUCAGUAUCGCCUCCAGUCUUUUGGGCCUGCUUGGGACCUUUACUUUCUUGGGCUGUGGAACCAUAAUGUACUGACCUCGAAACCAGUCCUGGCUGGGUUACAGCCAGGACAACAAACUUGUUUCCACUGGAGAGCCUGGGUGCAUUCUAGUAGCAGUGAUUUAACCAAAGACCACCCAGACCUGAUUUUACUCACUGCCCCUUGCUACGUCUGAAGGUCUGGGGAAAGCACCCACCUUGGCCUGAGGUGUGUGGCUAUUAGCCUUUCCAGGAAAGUGACGGUGGCAACCGUGGUUAUAAACGUGACCAGUUAACAGAACCUAGCAGCCCUGCCUUCUGUCUGUGCCAGGGUGGAAGCCAGUGGCCCGAGCCGACCAGAAGAUCGCCUGAGCCGAGCAGAUGAGCCAGAGCCAAUCAGAGGAGCACCUGACUCCCAGCUUUAUAUUACCAUUUUUUCCUUUUAAUUUCUUCUUCUCACAUAUAUUACAUCCUGACCACAGUUUCCCCUUCGUCCCCUCCCCCUAGUCUCUUCUCCUUUCACCUUUGCUCAGAAAAGAGCACACCACUCCAGAGCAUCAACCAGACAUGCACAACAAGCUACAGUAAGUAAGACAGGCACAUAUUCUCACAUCGAGGCUGGGCAAGGCCACCCAGUAGGAGGAAAUGAGCCCCAAAGGCAGGCAGAAGAGCCAGAGAGAGCCCCUGUUCCCACUCUUAGGACAAGACCUAGCUCAGACCCCUGCAGGUUCCCUGAUCUCUUUGAGCCCCGUGAGUCCUGGUCAGUUGAUUCUGUGGGCCCUUUUGUGUGAUGUCCUUGAUCCCUGCGGCUACUCCAGCCCUUCUUCCCCCUCUUCUGCAGGACCCCCGAGCUCCGCCUAGCGUUUGGCUGUGGGACAGUGCACCUGUUCCCAUCAGUUGCUUCAUGAAGUCUCCCUGGUCUCUCUGGGGACGAUGAUGCCAGAUUUAAUAACGGGAUGCUACACUCUACAUUUCAUGAAGCAUAUUCAUUAUUUGGUGAUCUCUGCACCUGGGUCACUAGUCCAUCAAUGUCUUCAUUCACAGUUUCCUGUCAAAACUGCUUUUUUUUUUCCUUCGCAGGCAUCAGCUGGACCCCAAGGUGGGGUCUAGGCACUCCAAACCUUCAUGAACCUACACCUUAGUAGCUAUCCUUAUUUCUUUUGUUUUUCUAGAUGACGCUUUAU
rnacentral:lncRNA from 1 species